GAAAGAAGUCCUGAGGCUCUCAGCUCAACUAGUCAGGUAAAAUCUCUUCCCUCAGAGCCUCAGGCCUGCCAAUUAGUAUCUGACAUGGCUGCCAAGGAAACGCCGAUGCUCAGAGUCCUGAUUAUUGCCCUCCUCUGAGCAAGAACCCAGUGAAAAAAAUGUUUGGCAAUUAGCUCAAGCCAAAGAGGCUCAAAACUUGUCUUCCUUUUUCACUAAAGACCAGGAUGAUAAUGAAGGAAGCUUCAGUAAUUAGCGCACAACAGUGAACCACAGGAGAAGAAAAGAAUAAGUGGAGUGAUGUAUUGGAAUGACCGAGAAAGAAUGAGACGUAAUUUACAAGUGAAAGGAAUGGCCUUGACUAGGAGUGAAGAUACACACAAAGAAUAUGGACAUAGUUGCAAGCAGCUUAAGAAGAAAACACAGCUGGACCUACAAUCGGGGAAAAUCCAUAACAGGCAAGACAAGAGCAAUUUCUCUGCCAGCUUCUUGCUACCUGCUGUCUCUAAUUGGCCAAACUUCUCACGGUGGAGUGCUCUCUCCUCCCCAUGUCUAAGUUGUCUUGUCUGGCCCCUCCAGGCAGGCACUGGGAAGCCAUAGCCUCAGUAUGACAGGUUGAGUCACACAUGGCAGUACAGCUGAUGAGUGCCUGCUCCUCUGGGCAUGAUGGACACUCUGCCAGUGUGUGGCCCUUAUCCCAAGGCAGGCAGAGACAAGCAAUAGUGGGAGAAGAUAAGAAGAUGGUGAUGACCAGGGCUCUGCAAUUGUGGGGACUUUGUGACUUGUUGCUGAGACCACUCUGUCCAGGAGCUAGGGCACAGAGCUAUGGGCUCUUGUUCUUAUUCUGGGGCUAUCAUCUAGGGAGAUCAUGAGGAAAUUGUGUGUCUCCAUUCCUUCAUCUGUUUCAAGACAACAUUUUAUGAGGUUAGUAAAAAUGACUGGAAAUAAUGUUCUGUCAUUCUAUUAAUUCAAAGAAGUUUGAGCACCUUCUGUGUUUACUUCCUCUCAGUUAUAUAUUUAUCUAACAGUGUAUUGCUAAGAAAUACUUCAGAACAUAUUCAUGUAAUAGCUGGAUUCUAGAUUCUAGAUUCUAAUUUCUAGAUUCUAAUUCUAAUCUAGAUUCUAGAUUCUAAACAUGGAAUAUUCUUACUGCAAUGGCAGUGAGUUGGGCAAAUAAUAAAUAGUGCAAGUUCCUAAAACAAAGUGCUGCAGCACUGACAGAGAGACCAUGAUAUUCUGUUGAUUAAAUUGACUUCAGUUUGGUCAUCAAAUAGGGCAAGAAACUUUUAAAAUAUCCUGUUUUGUAAUUAGUCAAAAAACAUGACAUGAAAAGCCUUCCUCUCUUGAUCUUUAUUCAUGCUCUACGGUAUUUUGAAAACUAAAAAUAAAUAGCCAAACCAGUGGAUUCUACACAGUUGAAGGUAGAAAAGGGAAGGAGGCAGUCUCACUUCUCCCCAUAAAAAAAAUGGUAUGUGCCAAAUGAGCAGCAAAGAGAAUAAGAGGAAUGGCUCAGGUCACCCAGGGCUGGGCUGAGAAAAAGAGGAGUAGAGCUUGAAUGGGUCUUUCAGAAAGGACACAUGUCAGAUAAGGUGGUGGGUUGAUAGUGGCAUUACAGAACUAUUUAAAAUCCUUUCAGUAGGGGGAAGAAGAAAUCAAUUAAUCUGAGUCAUGUGGUUUGGAUGUUAAAGCCUGAUAUCCUGUCAGUGUUGCUAUAGGCUCCCUGGAGAGAUAUUUUGGCUCUUGGCAAAGUGCUGUUGUUGACCUUACUGCCUGUAACAUUCAAAGGCUUAGAACAAAAACUGACCAGAAAGAAAGUGAAAGGCUAACCAAGAGAUUUGUAGGUCAGAACAUAGCAAGUGUCUGUUAUUCAUGUUAAUGGAAUGGAAAUAUGACAUAGAUAAUAAAUAGUCAUUGCUUUAGUUAGGACUAAGUUUGGUCACAAAUGACAAUAAACUCAAAAUAAAAGGGGGUUAGUCACAAUAGAAGUCUAUUUUCCUCUCACAUAUAUGUCCAGAGGGGAAGCCCAGGGGUGAUAUGAAUAUGAUGGUCCAUGAUGUUAUGGGAGCAGGCUUCAUCUGUCUUGCUGCUUGCCAUGCGUGGUCUCCAUACCCAAGGAUCACAUGGUCUCACAUGGCUGUUUCAACUCUAGCCAUAAAAACUAGUUCUGACAAUAAGAAAGAGAGCAAGAAAGGGAUGGGCCAUAUCCCUGACCUUUAAAGAUAUUUCCAAGAAGAUGUGACCUAUUUAUGUGUACAUACCAUUUCCAGAACUUCGUUAUCUACACACACUUAGCUGAAUGGUCAGACAGAAAGUGUAAUUUUUGCGUGAUGCUGCCAGAUGCCCAGCUAAGAUUUGGGGUUCCUAUUACUGAGAAAGAAGGGAACACAAUCUUGAAAGGACAACCAGCAGCCUCUGUCCCAAUCAUCUGAGACACUAGCAUUUGGUUUUCCAAACAAUUUUAUAAUUUUGAGCAAUAUAUUUGCAUUGUAAUUUUUAAAACUUAAUAUCAAUUUUUUUUAUUUUGUUGUUCAUUUAACCCACUUACUGAGCAGUACAGAAUUAAAAUUAUAAUUUCAUAUAGAUAUUGACAUUUCAUUUCUUCUGUGAGCCUAAAAAUCAUGGAUUUUCCAUUCUUUCAGCAGUAGUCUCUCAUUGUAGUGAUGCCUAAGUUAUGAUUUUGAAUGCGCAAAAGAAAUAAAAUUUAUUUAC
rnacentral:lncRNA from 1 species